AUUGAACGCUGGCGGCAUGGCUAAAACAUGCAAGUCGAACGGCAAAGUCGUAGCAAUACGGCAAUUAAGUGGCGAAAGGGCGAGUAAUGCAUUUCUAACGUACCCUGAGGUCAGGGAUAGCCCGGGGAAACCCGGAUUAAUACCUGAUGACCCUGCGGAGUCGUAUGGCUCUGCUGGCAAAGGCUUGCUGCCUCAGGAUCGGGGAAUGUCCUAUCAGCUAGUUGGUGAGGUAAUGGCUCACCAAGGCUAAGACGGGUAGCGGGUGUGAGAGCACGGCCCGCCGCAUCGGGACUGAGACACUGCCCGGACUCCCUACGGGAGGCUGCAGUAACGAAUCUUCCGCAAUGCCCGCAAGGGUGACGGAGCAAUGCCGCGU
rnacentral:rRNA from 1 species